rnacentral:rRNA from 1 species
AUUGAACGCUGGCGGUAUGCUUAACACAUGCAAGUCGAACGGUAGCAGGCCUUCGGGCGCUGACGAGUGGCGGACGGGUGAGUAACGCGUAGGAAUCUGCCUCAUAGUGGGGGACAACGUGUGGAAACGCACGCUAAUACCGCAUACGCCCUACGGGGGAAAGCGGGGGACCUUUGGGCCUCGCGCUAUGAGAUGAGCCUGCGUUAGAUUAGCUAGUUGGUGGGGUAAAGGCCUACCAAGGCGACGAUCUAUAGCUGGUCUGAGAGGACGAUCAGCCACACUGGGACUGAGACACGGCCAAGACUCCUACGGGAGGCAGCAGUGGGGAAUAUUGGACAAUGGGCGCAAGCCUGAUCCAGCAAUACCGCGUGUGUGAAGAAGGCCCUAGGGUUGUAAAGCACUUUCAGCGAGGAGGAGGCUCUUAAGGUUAAUACCCUUGAUGAGUGGACGUUACUCGCAGAAUAAGCACCGGCUAACUCUGUGCCAGCCGCCGCCGUAACAC